UGUAGUAAUACAAGGCAGACGGCUCAGUAACGCGUAGUCAACCUACCCUAUGGACGGGGAUAACCUCGGGAAACUGAGAAUAAUACCCGAUAGAACAUUAUGCCUGGAAUGGUUUAUGUUUCAAAUAAUUUAUUGCCGUAGGAUGGGACUGCGGCCUAUCAGUUUGUUGGUGAGGUAAUGGCCCACCAAGACUAUUACAGGUACGGGCUCUGAGAGGAGUAGCCCGGAGAUGGGUACUGAGACACGGACCCAGGCCCUAUGGGGCGCAGCAGGCGAGAAAACUUUGCAAUGUGCGAAAGCACGACAAGGUUAAUCCGAGUGGUUUCUGCUAAAGGAACCUUUUGUCAGUCCUAGAAACACUGAUGAAUAAGGGGUGGGCAAGUUCUGGUGUCAGCCGCCGCGGUAAAACCAGCACCUCAAGUGGUCAGGAUGAUUAUUGGGCCUAAAGCAUCCGUAGCCUGCUUUGUUAGUUUUCGGUUAAAUCCAUACGCUCAACGUAUGGGCUGCCGGGAAUACUGCAAAGCUAGGGAGUGGGAGAGGUAGACGGUACUCGGUAGGAAGGGGUAAAAUCCUUUGAUCUAUUGAUGACCACCUGUGGCGAAGGCGGUCUACCAGAACACGUCCGACGGUGAGGGAUGAAAGCUGGGGGAGCAAACCGGAUUAGAUACCCGGGUAGUCCCAGCUGUAAACUAUGCAAACUCGGUGAUGCAUUGGCUUGAUGCCAAUGCAGUGCCGCAGGGAAGCCGUUAAGUUUGCCGCCUGGGAAGUACGUACGCAAGUAUGAAACUUAAAGGAAUUGGCGGGGGAGCACCACAAGGGGUGAAGCCUGCGGUUCAAUUGGA
rnacentral:rRNA from 1 species